UAAAGGCUAAGUCAUGUGGGUCUUCCUAAAAAAAACCAGUGUCUCAUGGUAAGAGGGCCAAGGUACUCAAGGCUGACUGCCGGCUCCUUGCCACCACAGUGUUGGCUGUUGAUGCUGAGCUGAAUGGGGUACAUUCCAAGUCGGUCUGGACCCUCAACAGUCAGACACACACAGGGCUCUUUGACCACAGCACACCUUGGACUUGAGUAACCACAGCUAGGCUUUGCGGUCACUCAUGGUAUGGUAGACUGCAAAAUCUCAACAGCCUUCCCUCUCCCCCCCCCCCAAGUAUCGGCUUGGAAGGACACCCUGCUGGGUACAAGAAAGUGGAUAAUCUGGAGAUUAUGGAAAAGCACCAGUGUCCCCUAAAGUGUCACACUUUAGAAUGUGCCUCAGAUUGGUGUGGCCAUUUCUUGUCUGCUCUUUCUUGAAGCUAAGACGUUAUUGAAGGUAAAUCUGCUUUGAGUCUGCUGCUCAACUAAGUGCUCAGUAGGUAAGAUGUCCUUAAGUGGAACUAAGCUGUGCUCAUGGUAGCCUCGUUUCUAGCUUCCACAGACAUGGCAGCUCUGUCCACAGAACAGGCAGGAGGCAGUGUUCUUGGAUUGUUUUCUUCAAGGUCAUGUUUAUAUCGAGGGGAGAGACCCUGAUGCAGUCAACAGGUUCUAGUCAUGAAUUUAUUUAGAGCCAGAUGGUGUGGUUCACUAACAAGGCCUAAGUCUUCCUUCCUUGUGAUUAAGUGAAGCAGAAAAGGAAGCGGUGUACAUCUGAAUUACACUGUAGGCUCACAAGCAAAAACGUGGUCCUAUGGUGAACAGAUGACAUCUCAGAGUUCUAAAUCUCCACUUUAUUUUUAAGAUUAGAAGUUCUCAAAGCUGAGGCUGUAGCUUGGUGGAUAGAGAGAGCACUUGCCUAGCAUUGACAAGACCUCAAGUUCCAUCCUCAGCACUUGGGGUGGGGUUAUUAUUUAUAUCACUACCAUGAAAUUAUAUUGUUUUCAUAAAGAAAAAUACUCUAAAAUAGACUGGGUAAGGCAUUGUGGCACACUGUGUUCUAAGCACCCAGGAGUCUGUGAGGCAGGAGACUCAAGUUGAAGGCCAGCCUGAGCUGUGUGGAGAGAGCACGUCUCAGAAAACCAGUGCUCAGGUUGGGCAGCAUCAGAGGCAGUGAUGGCGUAGUGACAUUUUCAGACCAGGUGUACAUUUGGCUGACGCGCUAGGGUGAGUGCUGGUGUUCUCGCUGUCUCUGUAAGGUACUAAUAUAAAGUCCCACACCAGUGUCCCAUGAACUGUCUUUUCCAAGGCUUCGUUUCACAGUUGUAUUUUGAUACAACAUGGAUGUGAGCAUCACACUUGUUUAAACAGAUGUCUGCUGUGCUUAGUGGUUUUACCUCUGUUUACCUGAUGCCUGUGUAAAGUCUGUGCUUGGCUUUGAAUUGUGUGUUUACACCUUACUGUCUCUAAAUAAAGAGAAAAUUUUAUGGUUAUGC
rnacentral:lncRNA from 1 species